UACGGGGGGAGCGAACGUUGUUCGGAAUCACUGGGCGUAAAGGGCGUGUAGGCGGUUCGGUAAGUGGAAUGUGAAAUCCCCCGGCUUACCCGGGGAACUGCAUCCCAUACUGCUGGACUUGAGUGCGGGAGAGGAUGGAGGAAUUCCUGGUGUAGCGGUGAAAUGCGUAGAUAUCAGGAGGAACACCUGUGGCGAAGGCGUCAUCCUGGACCGGUAUUGACGCUGAGGCGCGAAAGCCAGGGGAGCAAACGGG
rnacentral:rRNA from 1 species